UUUUGACUAUUGGGGAAAAGGCACAAUGGUCACAGUUUCAAACGGUGCUGUAGCUGCACCCACCGUGUUUCCUCUGGCUCAAUGUGAGCCAGGUUCUGAUGGGUCCAUGAUAUAUGCUUGCAUGGCCACUGAUUUUUUCCCGGAGUCUGCAACAUUCCAUUGGACAAAAAAUGGUCAGAAUGUUUUGGAUGCUGUCCAGUAUCCUGCAGUUAAGCAGAAAACUGGAGACAAAUACUCCAAAGUUAGUCAGAUUAACGUCAACAUUACUGGCAUGGACAAGCAAGAGAUCAAAUGUACUGUGGAAACAAUCCGUUCAAACAAUCAAUCAGUUACUUUACCAGUUAAAGCUUCCCCCAGGUCACCAACUGUGAGCUUGCUGCCAGUAUUCACCUUUGAAAGCCAGAAUGUCUUGUGUGUCAUUGAAAACUUUUACCCCAAAUCGCUGACAGUGACAUGGAAAGAGGAUAACGUUAAGAUUGAACGUGAGGUGCCACUGUUUAUUCAGCAAGACUCCAGUGGUUACUAUACAGCACAGAGCUUUCUGAAGCUAAACAAAACUACACAGGGCAACAAUAAAAUGCACACUUGUGAAGUAUCUCAUAUGGGCGACACCUUCACCAAAACAAAAAGAUUGGAAGGCCAGCUCUCAGUGAAGCUAACUCCUCCAUCAUCAAGAGACAUUUUCCUCAAUAAUAAAGUAGAGCUGAAGUGUAUCACCACUGGUACAGACUCAGGAGCUGUAAAUGAUGCUGCAUUCAAAUGGAAGGUGGGAGGAAACGAUCAGAGUAGCAGCGCUACAGUGGAAAAAGACCAACUGGAAAAUGGUCAGUCAAGGCAGAUCAGCAAAUUAAAGGUGGAUGUAAAUGAGUGGUUCUCUGGAAAAGAGAUUGAGUGCCGCGUGUUCGAUAAGGGCGGUGAGGAGGUGGGCAACCCGCUGAAAAGAAUAAUCAAAAAAGGUGGAGCAGCUCCUAAAGUGCUUAUCUACACCCUCCCUGAGGCCAGUGACCCAAAUCAUGAUUCUGUGGUGUGUGAGGUCAGGGGCUCUUCUCUAGGAGAUGUGUACAUCAUGUGGAAGGUGGACGGAGGAGACUUUCAGGAGGGAAACACAGGCAUUGUGGAACAACAGGAUGGCAACAUGUCGCAUGUCAGCAUACUGACUGUCAAAAAGGAUUCAGCAACAAGAAAGUUCACCUGCGCUGUCAAGCAUGGUAACAUGGGAAAAAACACUUCUCCGAAAAUUGUGGACUACUCAAAAAGUAAAUACCAAGAAUGUCCUGUCUGUGAGUAGUAAUCUCUCAAGCAAACUCACGUGAACCCUCCAGCAUGCUGUUCUAUUCAAAAAAAUCUAAAAAUAAAAAACAGACAUUGUUUGGGGUAUUGAUUCACCAAUGGGUUGCUUGAGACAUUGUAUCUGUUUUGUUGUGAUAAAUGUUGUAUUUUGUUGAUGUUAUGUUCUUGUCCCUUGUCCAAUGUCUGCUCAUCAUGUUUGCAAGUCUCAGUAAUGUGUUGUGUUCUCAUGUUUUUUUUAUCGUGACUUUCUGCAUUGUCAUAUCUGUGGUGUCAUGUUUUGAUAUUGAAUGCUUAGUGUCUUUGUCUUCUGUGUGCUGUCUUGUGAUUAAAGCAUCAAAUAAAUUCAUACCACUGCAUUUUA